rnacentral:lncRNA from 1 species
GCAUCAACUUACUACAGUCUAUGGUCUUUUGUGUCUGGCAUCGUUCACUUAGCGUGUUUUCAUGGUUCAUCCAGAUUGUAACAUGUUUCAGUAUUCCAUUGUCUUUUAUGACUAAAUAAUACUGAAUAAUACAUCCUUAUGUACCACAUUUUGUUUAUUCGUUCAUUAGUUGAUGGACAUGCAACUUGUUUCCACAUUUUGACUAUUAUGAGUAUUGCUGCUGUGAAUAUUUUUGUAUAACUUUUAAAAUACAGUUUUAGCAGAAACAUACCAUACACGUAUUUUCAUAAUCCACUUUUUUCAUUUACAUACCUUCAACUUUAAAAACUAAAUUCGGAUUAUUUUGUUUUUCAUGAGGACAUAGUAAUUUUUGUGCAUAUGUAAAAUUUUCUUCAUAACCAAUCCUUGUUGUUAUUGUUUAGAUAUUUAGGUAGUUUCCAGUGUUUCCUUAUUAUAGUUAUUAAUAUCUUGACCCUCCUUGAGGCACUUUUUUGUUUCUUUCACCAAGUAUGUGAACCUAUUGAGGCGAUAUUACUGCAUACAUUAUCGUUAGUUGCUAAUAAUAGAAUAUGGGAAAUGGAAAUGUUUGAAGGAUGCUCACAUGUCUGCCUAUACUGGAUAGCAUAACUCAGUGGUUCUCAAACUUUUUGGUCUCAGGAUCCUUUAUCCUCAAUUAUCAAGGACUCCAAAGAGUCCUUAUGUGGGUUAUACCUGUCAAGACUUACUGUAUUAAAAAUUAAAACUGGCCGGGCACAGUUGCUCAUACCUGUAAUCCCAACACUUUGGGAGGCUGAGUGAUCUGCCCGCCUCGGUCUCCCAAAGUGCUGGAAUUACAUGUAUGAGCCACCACGACUGGCCUUAUUGUGAAAAUAAUUUUGACCCCAUGGAUCUCCUGAAAGGGUCUCCGGGACCACUUGGUGUCCCUGAAUUGCACCUGGAGAACCCCUGCUACAGCUUAAUAAAAUCUCUACCAAUUAAAUGUGAUAGCCAUUUUGUUUCAGUUUGAAUUGUUUUCAUGUUUGGCUAUUUAUACUUCUUUUGUGGUAAAUUGCUUGUUUUUUCUUAUGUGUUGAUUUGUACAGACGUUUCUUACGUUGUUAUUAUUAAUAAUCCUUUUUAUGGGUUACCUUUAAAUAGUUUUUACUAUUAUGUAUGUGUUGGUUUUAAUUUUUACACAUUUAUCAGUUAUGUCCUUUAUGAAGUUUCUGCCUUUGUAACAUAUUGGGAAUUCUCUUCUAUAGCUAGAUUAUACAGUGCUUUCCUCUUUCACUGAUAAUACCAACUAUUAAGCAUCCACAGUGUGCCAGGAACUGUAUUAGGUAGUGAGCACAAAUUGGUAAACAAUGGAUAAAGGUCCCUGCCCUUAUUUGACUUAAACGUUGUUAGCAACAACAGUAAACUAUUAGAAACUGAAACGAACAGGAUUUUCCAGAACGUUUAAGCUGUUUUUAUUCAUUUUUUCCUCAAAGCCUAAAUAACAUAGAUAGAAGAAUGGUUUCUAUCAGUCCCUAGUUGGUUAAUCCUAAAAAGCACUGCUGGCUGGGCACGGUGACACACUGCCUGUAAUCCCAGCACUUUGGGAGGCCAAGGCGGGCAAUCAGUUGAGCCCAGGAGUUUGAGACCAGCCUAGGCAACAUGACAAGACCCCAUCUCUACAAAAAA